rnacentral:rRNA from 1 species
GUUAAAACUCAAAUGAAUUGACGGGGGCCCGCACAAGCGGUGGAGCAUGUGGUUUAAUUCGAUGCAACGCGAAGAACCUUACCUACUCUUGACAUCCAGAGAACUUAGCAGAGAUGCUUUGGUGCCUUCGGGAACUCUGAGACAGGUGCUGCAUGGCUGUCGUCAGCUCGUGUUGUGAAAUGUUGGGUUAAGUCCCGCAACGAGCGCAACCCUUAUCCUUUGUUGCCAGCGGUUCGGCCGGGAACUCAAAGGAGACUGCCAGUGAUAAACUGGAGGAAGGUGGGGAUGACGUCAAGUCAUCAUGGCCCUUACGAGUAGGGCUACACACGUGCUACAAUGGCAUAUACAAAGAGAAGCGACCUCGCGAGAGCAAGCGGACCUCACAAAGUAUGUCGUAGUCCGGAUCGGAGUCUGCAACUCGACUCCGUGAAGUCGGAAUCGCUAGUAAUCGUAGAUCAGCAUUGCUGCGGUGAAUACGUUCCCGGGCCUUGUACACACCG